GCAGUCGAACGAUGAAGCCCUUCGGGGUGGAUUAGUGGCGAACGGGUGAGUAACACGUGGGCAAUCUGCCCUUCACUCUGGGACAAGCCCUGGAAACGGGGUCUAAUACCGGAUAACACCUGCCCGGGCAUCUGGGUGGGUUAAAAGCUCCGGCGGUGAAGGAUGAGCCCGCGGCCUAUCAGCUUGUUGGUGAGGUAGUGGCUCACCAAGGCGACGACGGGUAGCCGGCCUGAGAGGGCGACCGGCCACACUGGGACUGAGACACGGCCCAGACUCNUACGGGAGGCAGCAGUGGGGAAUAUUGCACAAUGGGCGAAAGCCUGAUGCAGCGACGCCGCGUGAGGGAUGACGGCCUUCGGGUUGUAAACCUCUUUCAGCAGGGAAGAAGCGAAAGUGACGGUACCUGCAGAAGAAGCGCCGGCUAACUACGUGCCAGCAGCCGCGGUAAUACGUAGGGCGCAAGCGUUGUCCGGAAUUAUUGGGCGUAAAGAGCUCGUAGGCGGCUUGUCACGUCGGGUGUGAAAGCCCGGGGCUUAACCCCGGGUCUGCAUUCGAUACGGGCUAGCUAGAGUGUGGUAGGGGAGAUCGGAAUUCCUGGUGUAGCGGUGAAAUGCGCAGAUAUCAGGAGGAACACCGGUGGCGAAGGCGGAUCUCUGGGCCAUUACUGACGCUGAGGAGCGAAAGCGUGGGGAGCGAACAGGAUUAGAUACCCUGGUAGUCCACGCCGUAANCGGUGGGAACUAGGUGUUGGCGACAUUCCACGUCGUCGGUGCCGCAGCUAACGCAUUAAGUUCCCCGCCUGGGGAGUACGGCCGCAAGGCUAAAACUCAAAGGAAUUGACGGGGGCCCGCACAAGCAGCGGAGCAUGUGGCUUAAUUCGACGCAACGCGAAGAACCUUACCAAGGCUUGACAUACACCGGAAANCGGCCAGAGAUGGUCCCCCCNNUUGNGGNCCGNNGUACAGGUGGGNGCAUGGCUU
rnacentral:rRNA from 1 species